rnacentral:rRNA from 1 species
AGCGAACGCUGGCGGCAGGCCUAACACAUGCAAGUCGAACGAACUCUUCGGAGUUAGUGGCGGACGGGUGAGUAACACGUGGGAACGUGCCUUUAGGUUCGGAAUAACUCAGGGAAACUUGUGCUAAUACCGAAUGUGCUCUUCGGGGGAAAGAUUUAUCGCCUUUAGAGCGGCCCGCGUCUGAUUAGCUAGUUGGUGAGGUAAAGGCUCACCAAGGCUACGAUCAGUAGCUGGUCUGAGAGGAUGACCAGCCACAUUGGGACUGAGACACGGCCCAAACUCCUAUGGGAGGCAGCAGUGGGGAAUCUUGCGCAAUGGGCGAAAGCCUGACGCAGCCAUGCCGCGUGGAUGAUGAAGGUCUUAGGAUUGUAAAAUCCUUUCACCGGUGAAGAUAAUGACUGUAGCCGGAGAAGAAGCCCCGGCUAACUUCGUG